AAAGCGCGCGCAGGCGGUCCCUUAAGUCUGAUGUGAAAGCCCACGGCUCAACCGUGGAGGGUCAUUGGAAACUGGGGGACUUGAGUGCAGAAGAGGAAAGUGGAAUUCCACGUGUAGCGGUGAAAUGCGUAGAGAUGUGGAGGAACACCAGUGGCGAAGGCGACUUUCUGGUCUGUAACUGACGCUGAGGCGCGAAAGCGUGGGGAGCAAACAGGAUUAGAUACCCUGGUAGUCCACGCCGUAAACGAUGGAUACUAGGUGUUGUCUGUAUCGACCCGGACAGUGCCGUAGCUAACGCGUUAAGUAUCCCGCCUGGGGAGUACGAGUCGUGGGGG
rnacentral:rRNA from 1 species